rnacentral:rRNA from 1 species
UACGUAGGGUCCGAGCGUUGUCCGGAAUUAUUGGGCGUAAAGGGCUCGUAGGCGGUUCGUCACGUCGGGAGUGAAAACUCGGGGCUCAACCCCGAGCCUGCUUCCGAUACGGGCAGACUAGAGGUAUGCAGGGGAGAAUGGAAUUCCUGGUGUAGCGGUGAAAUGCGCAGAUAUCAGGAGGAACACCGGUGGCGAAGGCGGUUCUCUGGGCAUUACCUGACGCUGAGGAGCGAAAGUGUGGGGAGCGAACAGG